rnacentral:rRNA from 1 species
GACGGUACCAGAUGAAUAAGCACCGGCUAAUUCCGUGCCAGCAGCCGCGGUAAUACGGAGGGUGCAAGCGUUUUCCGGAUUCAGGGGGUAUAAAGGGUGCGUAGGUGGGUUGGUAAGUCAGUGGAGAAAUCUGCGAGCUUAACUGGGAAACUGCCAUUGAUACUAUCUGUCGUGAAUAUUGGGGAGGUGAGCGGAAUAUGUCAUGGAGCGGAGAAAUGCUGAGAUAUGACAUAGAACACCAAGUGAGAAGGCAGCUGGGUACACAUAUAUAGACAGUGAGGCAAGAAAGCGUGGGGAUCAAACAGGAUUAG